AGAGAAAGAGAAAGAGAAAGAGAGAGAGAGAGAGAGAAAGGGAGAGAGAGAGAGAGAGAGAGCAACGAUGGUCGAGCAAGCCAUAGAGUGACUGAAGAUAGAGAGCGGCGUUGGUGGGAACAAAGCAGCAAAUCGGAGAAAUAAAACGUUAUUUUCUGAUUAUUUCCCAGCGGUUACGUUCUAAAACACA